AAAGCCAGACUCUGUCUCAAAAAAAAAAAAAAAAAAGAGAGAGAGUUCAAGUUUGAGGAUCCGUCCUGGCUAUAAAUCAUCUUUGUCUUGCUUUUGUCCUGAAAUUCUGAUACCCAUUUUUAUGAUGCAAAUUUCAUAAAAUUCAACUUGAAUAGCUCAAAAGAAUCUAACUUGAUGAUGCCCAUUUACUGGGCAUAUAGUAUGUGUCCAAGAACUUUACAUGCACCUUCUGUCUUCCAUUUAGUCAUCAUUGCAUUUAGGAAAAGUUGAUUCAGCUAACAAGAUCUUUGGAGAGAAUCAGCUUCACAAAGGUUUGAAUCAACUUCUUGGGCUUUGUUUCUAUGUUGGAAGAAAUGUUACAGAAAGUGAAGAGCUGGAAUGUGAGGGAAAUAAAAGGCUUUUUUUGCCCUG